rnacentral:rRNA from 1 species
CAGUAGCCGCGGUAAUACGAAGGGGGCUAGCGUUGUUCGGAAUUAUUGGGCGUAAAGCGCGCGUAGGCGGCGGCCAAAGUCAGGCGUGAAAUUCCCGGGCUCAACCUGGGGGCUGCGUUUGAUACUUGGUUGCUUGAGUGGGGAAGAGGGUCGUGGAAUUCCCAGUGUAGAGGUGAAAUUCGUAGAUAUAGGAAGGAACAUCAGUGGCGAAGGCGACCACCUGGACUGAUACUGACACUGAGGUGCGAAAGCGUGGGGAGCAAACAGGAUUAGAUACCCCCGUAGUCCCUGUCUCUUAUAC